rnacentral:rRNA from 1 species
AACGAACGCUGGCGGCAGGCUUAACACAUGCAAGUCGAACGGGUGUAGCAAUACAUCAGUGGCAGACGGGUGAGUAACACGUGGGAACCUUCCUAGGGGUACGGAACAACUCAGGGAAACUUGAGCUAAUACCGUAUACGUCCGUGAGGAGAAAGAUUUAUCGCCCUUAGACGGGCCCGCGUCGGAUUAGCUAGUUGGUGGGGUAACGGCCUACCAAGGCGACGAUCCGUAGCUGAUCUUAGAGGAUGAUCAGCCACACUGGGACUGAGACACGGCCCAGGCUCCUACGGGAGGCAGCAGUGGGGAAUCUUGGACAAUGGGCGGAAGCCUGCUCCAGCCAUGCCGCGUGAGUGAAGAAGGUCUUCGGAUUGUAAAGCUCUUUUGCCAGGGACGAUAAUGACGGUACCUGGAGAAUAAGCCCCGGCAAACUUCGUGCCAGCCGCCGCAGUAA